GUAAAAUUNUGUUGUUAGGGAAGAACAAAUUUGUUAGUAACUGAACNAGUCUUGACGGUACCUUANNCAGAAAGGCACGGCUUAACUACGUGNCAGCAGCCGCGGUAAUACGUAGGUGGCAAGCGUUAUCCGGAAUUAUUSGGCGUAAAGCGCGCGUAGGCGGUUUCUUAAGUCUGAUGUGAAAGCCCACGGCUCAACCGUGGAGGGUCAUUGGAAACUGGGGAACUUGAGUGCAGAAGAGGAGAGUGGAAUUCCAUGUGUAGCGGUGAAAUGCGCAGAGAUAUGGAGGAACACCAGUGGCCGAAGGCGGCUUCUUNGUCUGUAACWGACGCUGAUGUGCGAAAGCGUGGGGAUCAAACAGGAUUAGAUACCCUGGUAGUCCACGCCGUAAACKAUGAGUGCUAAGUGUUAGGGGGUUUCCGCCCCUUAGUCGCUGCAGCUAACGCAUUAAGCACUCCGCCUGGGGAGUACGACCGCAAGGUUGAAACUCAAAGGAAUUGACGGGGACCCGCACAAGCGGGURGAGCAUGUGGUUUAAUUCGAAGCAACNCGAAGARCCUUACCAAAUCUUGACAUCCUUUGGUCGCUCUAGAGAUAGAGUUUUCCCCUUCGGGGGACAAAGUGACAGGUGGUGCAUGGUUGUYGUCAGCUCGUGUCGUGAGUGUGUUGGGUUAAGNCCCGNNANNAGCGCAACCCUUA
rnacentral:rRNA from 1 species